rnacentral:rRNA from 1 species
GAUGAACGCUGGCGGCCCGUCUAACACAUGCAAGUCGAACGGACAUUUUUUGGAAAGUUCCUCGGAACUGGAAUCUAAAUGUUAGUGGCGGACGGGUGAGUAACGCGUGAGCAAUCUGCCUUUCAGAGGGGGAUAACAGCCGGAAACGGCUGCUAAUACCGCAUAAUGCAUUGGAUUCGCAUGUUUCUGAUGCCAAAGAUUUUAUCGCUGAAAGAUGAGCUCGCGUCUGAUUAGCUAGUUGGCGGGGUAACGGCCCACCAAGGCGACGAUCAGUAGCCGGACUGAGAGGUUGAACGGCCACAUUGGGACUGAGACACGGCCCAGACUCCUACGGGAGGCAGCAGUGGGGAAUAUUGCGCAAUGGGGGCAACCCUGACGCAGCAACGCCGCGUGAUUGAUGAAGGUCUUCGGAUUGUAAAAAUCUUUAAUCAGGGACGAAGAAAAUGACGGUACCUGAAGAAUAAGCUCCGGCUAACUACGUGCCAGCAGCCGCGGUAAUACGUAGGGAGCAAGCGUUAUCCGGAUUUACUGGGUGUAAAGGGCGUGUAGGCGGGCUUACAAGUUGGAAGUGAAAUCUCGGGGCUUAACCCCGAAACUGCUUUCAAAACUGCGAGUCUUGAGUGAUGGAGAGGCAGGCGGAAUUCCCAGUGUAGCGGUGAAAUGCGUAGAUAUUGGGAGGAACACCAGUGGCGAAGGCGGCCUGCUGGACAUUAACUGACGCUGAGGCGCGAAAGCGUGGGGAGCAAACAGG